rnacentral:rRNA from 1 species
UACGUAGGGCGCAAGCGUUGUCCGGAAUUAUUGGGCGUAAAGAGCUCGUAGGCGGUUUGUCGCGUCUGCUGUGAAAUCCUCAGGCUCAACCUGGGGCUUGCAGUGGGUACGGGCAGACUAGAGUGUGGUAGGGGAGACUGGAAUUCCUGGUGUAGCGGUGAAAUGCGCAGAUAUCAGGAGGAACACCGAUGGCGAAGGCAGGUCUCUGGGCCACUACUGACGCUGAGAAGCGAAAGCGUGAGGAGCGAACAGG